rnacentral:hammerhead_ribozyme from 1 species
AUUCAACUGAUGAGUCCAAAAUAGGACGAAACGUGCAUCCUGGAU